rnacentral:rRNA from 1 species
UACAGAGGUCUCAAGCGUUGUUCGGAUUCAUUGGGCGUAAAUGGUGCGUAGGCGGCGCGGUAAGUCGGGUGUGAAAUCUCGGAGCUUAACUCCGAAACUGCAUUCGGUACUGCCGUGCUUGAGGACUGGAGAGGAGACUGGAAUUUACGGUGUAGCGGUGAAAUGCGUAGAUAUCGUAAGGAAGACCAGUGGCGAAGGCGGGUCUCUGGACAGUUCCUGACGCUGAGGCACGAAGGUCAGGGGAGCAAACGGG